ACGAAGACGGGUCUGUGGUUGAAAGUCGAGGCCAGUCGCAGGCAAAACGAUCCACGUAAACCGGGCAAAGUCCCGGCGAGCAUGGUGCGGCUUAGAAGUAAGUCCGGCCAGCACGGCGAUGCUGAGAGGGUCAGUAGUGGGGCGCGAAGGCGUAUGAGCGAGAGCUCCGGCCGGCGAGUGUGGGGGCAAAGACCAGGUCAGCCGGACUUUGU
rnacentral:ncRNA from 12 species